rnacentral:rRNA from 1 species
UACGGGGGGGGCAAGCGUUGUUCGGAAUUACUGGGCGUAAAGGGCUCGUAGGCGGCCAACUAAGUCAGACGUGAAAUCCCUCGGCUUAACCGGGGAACUGCGUCUGAUACUGGAUGGCUGGAGUUUGGGAGAGGGAUGCGGAAUUCCAGGUGUAGCGGUGAAAUGCGCAGAUAUCAGGAAGAACACCCGUGGCGAAGGCGGUUCUCUGGGACGGUACUGACGCUGAGGCGCGACAGCGUGGGGAGCAAACAGG